CACCCCUCCCCCAAAAGAAAAAGACCAAAUCCCCUUCGAAGAAAAAACAGAGAGAGAUCUGCCAGCCCUAGCGAAGUACUGGAGGCUGCCGCCGCCAUUUGCCGUCGCGGCCCAUCGCUGGCGAGAUCGCCCCGGAGGGCUCCUACUAUCGCCAAAAAUCCAUUCCACUGAACACGCUACCUCGCCCCAUGAGUCCACUGCCGGUGCGCGAUUUUGAGGCAGGCCCCAGACCUCUUAUGUAGCGGCAGCAAUUAAUCUGGCAUGUGGAUGUGGCUGCAGCCUGAAACAGAGUAAAUGACAAAGCAGAAGUAACAAAGGUUUUGUGUACUUCAUAUCUCGAUUCUUGUAAUACGAGUUCGCCUGCUCUUCUGUAGGACCACAACAUUUUGGUAUGUAUAGCUUCUUCUCCAAAUUGACUGAAAGUACGCACGCAUUGUUUUCAUUUGCUUUUCUUGUUAAUAGAUAAUUAGAUUGGAUCUGAGUGAAGUAAAAUCUUUUGUCGCGUUUCAAAAUUUUCAGGACAAUUGCACGUAGAUUUUGUUGUGAGUGCCUGAUAUAAGCAAAAUAUUAUGGCAUCAAGACUUAGUCCUUCAAUAUACUGCACUUGUACAAGCUAAUGCCAGGUAAGUCUGUUUGAUCAAACGACGGUGCAAGCACAUACAUAAUCUUAUGAAGACUUACUUAACUACAAAAUCAAGUACACCUCUGUCCUGCAACUUAGAUUUGAUUCGGCAAACAUACUUCACACUGAAUCCUUAGUGCGGUAUUCAGUAAGAGCUAAUUUUCUCUGUUUUCUACGCAAGCAGUCAAGCACUCUAUGUUUCUGAAAGAGCGUGGUACUGAUUGCUGUUAAAAAGAAGAACUAUAUGUAUGUACUAUAUUUUCAGACAGUUGUUAAGCGUAUUUUGUAGCUGACAUCUCUUACGUUGUCACAUAUUCAGCCACAUCAUACUUUGUAAUGUUAAAUGCCAUUGUUUUAAGCAAUGUUUUUAUGAGCAUAUAUCUACACGAUAGUUUAAUAAUUGUUUUUCUUGCAGGCGGUCCGUAGAUUUAUCCAACAAAGAAGUGAAAUUGCAAUGUGAAGAGAUGGUGCUCCAAUAUACGGAUACUACUCCUGAUGGUAAAAUACCCGUGAUUAUUAUUCAAGCAAAAUAAUCGGAGGUUGCAAGGCAAAUCUACAGUAGUAGCAAUGGGAAGACGAUGUACCAGUUUCUCCAUGAAAGAUUAUAGACUGUUUUCAAACUGGUUAGAAGAAAAUGUAUGUAUAAAUAUUUGGAGGAUUUUGUCUAGCCAAGUUGUAAUUCUUUGACAAAAGUACAGUUAAAUUGUAAAGUAUCGUUGCUCUCGGAAAUAAAGUUAACAUGUUCUAAAUAA